AGAGACGAGUCAGAGUUUGAUCCUGGCUCAGGACGAACGCUGGCGGCGUGCCUAACACAUGCAAGUCGAACGGGGUGUUCCUUCGGGGACACUUAGUGGCGAACGGGUGAGUAACGCGUGAGGAACCUGCCUUCCAGUGGGGGACAACAGUUGGAAACGACUGCUAAUACCGCAUAACAUUCACGGACCGCAUGAUCUGUGAAUCAAAGCUUUAUGUGCUGGAAGAUGGCCUCGCGUCUGAUUAGCUAGUUGGUGGGGUAACGGCUCACCAAGGCGACGAUCAGUAGCCGGUCUGAGAGGAUGAACGGCCACAUUGGGACUGAGAUACGGCCCAG
rnacentral:rRNA from 1 species